rnacentral:rRNA from 1 species
CCGGCAGCUCGAGUGAUGGCCAAUAUUAUUGGGCCUAAAGCGUCCGUAGCUGGCCGAACAGGUCUGUCGGGAAAUCCGCUCGCUCAACGAGCGGACGUCCGGCGGAAACCAGUCGGCUUGGGACCGGAAGACCCGAGGGGUACGUCCGGGGUAGGAGUGAAAUCCUGUAAUCCUGGACGGACCACCGGUGGCGAAAGCGCCUCGGGAGGACGGAUCCGACAGUGAGGGACGAAAGCUUGGGUCACGAACCGGAUUAGAUACCCGGGUAGUCCAAGCUGUAAACGAUGCUCGCUAGGUGUGGCGCUGGCUACGAGCCAGUGCUGUGCCGUAGGGAAGCCGAGAAGCGAGCCGCCUGGGAAGUACGUCCGCAAGGAUGAAACUUAAAGGAAUUGGCGGGGGAGCACGGGGCGGGGGCGGCGGGCCGGGCGCGGGGCGCGGCGGGCG